rnacentral:lncRNA from 1 species
UUAAAAUAACUUGAUGUGUGGGAGAAUGUGAAGGAGAAAAUGGAGAGUAUUUUGAGCUAGAAUGUGAGGGAGAAUGGAGAGUAAAUGUGAGGGAGAAUGGAGAGGAUUUCAAUAUUAUGUAUGAGAAAAAAAUUAGAGUGAAUGUAUUUUUAAUAUUUAGUCAUUGCAAUAAAAGUAAGAUAAAUAAAUUGUAGGUGUGAGAAAAUAGAAUUUGGUCAUUGCUACAUGUUUUCAUGUCACUAUAAUUUAACAAUUAAUAAUUGUAUUUCUUUGACCAACAAUUUAUUUAUCUCUUGUUUAAUGCUUGAACUAAAUUAUAAAUACUAGUUUGAUUUCAUUAUAAAAAAGUGUUAACUACUAAAGGGUAACUAAAGGGGUAUGUUAUGCAUGAAAUUACAGGCGCCAAGUCCCAGUUGAAAAAGCCAACCGGGACUAAAGGGUGAUUUGUCACAGUUGAAUGACUCGGGACUAAAGACCCCCCCUUUCAUCUUGAAAACUAUAUCAAGAUGGUUUUUAGAGAGAUUUGACCCCUACCAACCGGGACUAAAGCCGAGGUUUCCAGUAGUGAUAUCAAUCUCAAAUGAUGAUUUUUCAAAAAAAGUAAUCUCAAUGGCAACAUUGGCAGGCAGAGCGCAGUUCAAUGUCAAUAGGACAGUGCAAAUUGCCAUAAAAGAUUCACAGUGGAUAGUACCGCACCCUUAGCAUGUGUUUGGUUUGGAGACAACACGGGACGGGAUUAUAAGUCCCUAUUUUUUAGGAUGGGAUCGUCCCAUCUCGUGUUUGGUUGAAUGGGAUGGGUCCGUCCUAAUUUUUUAUUUGGUUGGAGAGAUUGCAAUAGACGGGACAAGCACCGUUUUCUCCUUCUGUUAGACACCAUUUGUGGGGCUCACCUAUCAUACUAACGACCAUCUUCUUCCUCCUCCCCCGUUCUGCUCGUGGCACCGGUCUUAGGGCUUGCCCUUGCACCGCCCUAUGAGCUUGCGCCGUUGCGUCACCGGGGGGAGCUUGCCCCAGCCGCGCCGCCCAUGAAUCGGGUCCCACCAGCCUCGAGCUCCAUAGCGCCGCCUGCCGGAUCUCAGCUAGCGCCCGCCGGAUCUCAACUCGCGCGCGCCGGCCGCGGCGGAGCUCACCCGCACCAACGG